rnacentral:lncRNA from 1 species
AAAUAACCAAUUGCUGUGUGCAUUUCAUGCCGGUGGCCUGCCUUGCCCUGCCACUUGACACCCGCUGGUCAUUCCCAUGUGAGCUGGCCGCGCGCUGUGUUGCUGCUCAGUUUGGCCACGCCGACCCGCGCGGCUAUUUUGGUAUCUUCUGGAGUCGCUAUCGGGAGCCAGGCGAAACCACUGCAUUUGAACAUGGAUCUGAGGACUUGACUGACUUUGGUGGUAUAAAGCUGGAUUGUGGGAUCGCUGGGGUCUAAAGUGGAUACUUAUACUCAGCAUGAGUGACCCAACACCAAGGAUCCGCUGGGCUGGAAGCAAACUAAAGGGUCCACAGAGCUGCAGUGACUGAAACGGUGAUGCACAAGAUC